CCGUGCUAGGCGGGGAGGUAGCGGUGCCCUGUACCUGCAAUCCGCUAUAGCAGGGCUGAAUUCUCGACCGAGGUUCGUGGUUGUCGGGGCCGGCAUCGGUAAGCGGCAGUGAUGGCCGGGUCCCACGCAAUGAGUCGUUCCGAACCGGGUCAGGUCCUGACGGAAGCAGCCCUAAGGGACUUUUCUCAUGUGCCGUGGGGGCGCCUGACCGGAGUUGGCUGCCGGUGUAUCGCCCGGUAACGGCGGAUCGACGAAGAGUGCACGG
rnacentral:SRP_RNA from 1 species